AUGCCUCCCACGACCUACCUAUCGGAGAAACUAAUUGAUAGGCUAAAAUUUGUCAAAACAAAUGGUGUGGGAUCUUUGUAUGGCAUAUUUUAUGACAAUUCAGCUCUUAUUCUCGGAUUAAGUUUUGAGGAAUGCAGCAGAAAUGAUGAUGGGAGCAGUAAAAACAAUUUCGGAUCCUCUCAACCACACUAUCCCGCUGAAGUUGACUACUGUGGGUUGGUUUCCUUUCAGUCAGAUUCAAGUAUCGAGAAUGAUCAAGCUUCUUUUGUGGCCAAAGCAGUAGAGGACGUCUCUAUCACAGACUCACCAUUUGUCGCUGUUGUCAAUGUUAGCACUUCAGGUCCAUCAACCCUCAGUUUGUACUGUUGCGCAAGUAAAAUUCUGAAUCCUGUCAACUAUAAAAUUCUAUCGGAGAAGGAAAUAAAAACCAAUUUUUAACCAUCAGGCUUUGCUCCAAGUUGCCAUUGACAUGUGGAAGUAAAGAACAGUCCAUCAAUGACCGAAUGGCUGAUCUUCAGAAAAAGGUGAUCUCUUGCUUAUUUUUGCUCCUUUCUUUAUGUCAGGGUGUCCACUAGUCUAGAAAGGGGACUGAUUUUCAAGAGGUGGUCCGGAAUUACUGAAAAAGCACGAAAAUCCGCAAGAAGGUGUGGAAUUAUUUGCUUCAUACCACUCAUAUUUCCCAAGACAGCCUGUAAAGUAUGCAGUCCGUUGCGGAUUGAUUAUUAUUCAUCCAGUAUAUUCUAAAUUUUGAUUGUGCAGCCAGUGCAUGUUCAGGGUAACAAUGAGCCUCGAAUUUCAAGGAUGAGUCAUUUUUGUUGCGAUUUGCGUGAAUUUCGAUUUUUUCCAAAUUCCGCUAUAUAGAGGUAGGUACUGAAUAAGUACUGACUUUUUCCGUUAAGGUGGUCCUAGAUUUUUCAGGAAAGUACUGAAAA
rnacentral:lncRNA from 1 species